rnacentral:rRNA from 1 species
AUUGAACGCUGGCGGCAUGCCUUACACAUGCAAGUCGAACGGUAACAGAUCUUCGGAUGCUGACGAGUGGCGAACGGGUGAGUAAUACAUCGGAACGUGCCUAGUAGUGGGGGAUAACUACUCGAAAGAGUGGCUAAUACCGCAUGAGAUCUACGGAUGAAAGCAGGGGAUCGCAAGACCUUGUGCUACUAGAGCGGCCGAUGGCAGAUUAGGUAGUUGGUGGGAUAAAAGCUUACCAAGCCGACGAUCUGUAGCUGGUCUGAGAGGACGAUCGGCAACACGGGGACGGGGAGACGGCCCAGACUCCUACGGGAAACAGCAGUGGGGAAUUUUGGACAAUGGGCGCAAGCCUGAUCCAGCAAUGCCGCGUGCAGGAUGAAGGCCUUCGGGUUGUAAACUGCUUUUGUACGGAACGAAAAGCCCUGGGUUAAUACCCUGGGGUCAUGACGGUACCGUAAGAAUAAGCACCGGCUAACUACGUGCCAGCCGCCGCCGUAAGAC